rnacentral:tRNA from 1 species
GGGGAUGUGGCUCAGUUAGGAAAGUACUUGCCUAACAUGCAUGAAGCCUUGGGUUUGAUCCCCAGCACCUCA